CCCUUAGAUGUUCUGGGCUGCACGCGCGCUACACUGAAGCUAUCAACACGUUUUCCCUCCCUGAGAAGGGCGGGUAACCUUUUGAAUCAGCUUCGUGGUAGGGAUCGGGGCUUGCAAUUGUUCCCCGUGAACCAGGAAUUCCUAGUAGACGCGAGUCAUAAGCUCGCAUCGAUUAAGUCCCUGCCCUUUGUACACACCGCCCGUCGCUCCUACCGAUUGAGUGUGUUGGUGAGGAGUUUGGAUUGGCCUCGGAAGGUGGUUCGCCACCGUCCGUAGCUGAGAAGUUCUCCAAACCGCCCCACUUAGAGGAAGGAGAAGUCGUAACA
rnacentral:rRNA from 1 species